rnacentral:rRNA from 1 species
GACGAACGCUGGCGGCGUGCUUAACACAUGCAAGUCGAACGGAAAGGCCCUGCUUUUGUGGGGUGCUCGAGUGGCGAACGGGUGAGUAACACGUGAGUAACCUGCCCUUGACUUUGGGAUAACUACAGGAAACUGGGGCUAAUACCGGAUAGGAGCUCCUGCUGCAUGGUGGGGGUUGGAAAGUUUCGGCGGUUGGGGAUGGACUCGCGGCUUAUCAGCUUGUUGGUGGGGUAGUGGCUUACCAAGGCUUUGACGGGUAGCCGGCCUGAGAGGGUGACCGGCCACAUUGGGACUGAGAUACGGCCCAGACUCCUACGGGAGGCAGCAGUGGGGAAUAUUGCACAAUGGGCGGAAGCCUGAUGCAGCAACGCCGCGUGCGGGAUGACGGCCUUCGGGCUGUAAACCGCUUUCGCCUGUGACGAAGCGUGAGUGACGGUAAUGGGUAAAGAAGCACCGGCUAACUACGUG